CAAAGGGUGGGGAUCCAGAAACCUUUGAAGAAAGGGGAAGAAACCUUAUGCACUGACAGAUGUGGGGGGAAGGGAAAGCGGAUUUUGGGCUGAGCGAAGUUCUCACAGACGCCUUCCUGAGCUUAAGCUGACAAGAAAGGCAAAUCACAACACACGAGAGGGAAUUAUUUCUCGCUACCCUAUAUACAAAUCUGAAAUGUUAAUAAAUACCUUUCUGUACCAUUUCUUAAGGCAAUGAAAGUGAAUAAGAGACCAGAUCUCAGCAGGUGGAUAAACAGUAACUGAAGUGUGGGAAGAGACACUUGGAGCGCUGCAGAAAAUCUCCUAAAACGAACACUUAAAAUAUUAGUAAUAAUUAGCCGUUCCAGAGACCUCUGGGGGACAUAGCAAUGAGUAACGUAUUUCUGUCUCUCUCAGGUGUCACAGAUGCACCUCAGUGGCGGGCAAGCACUAUGUAAAUAGAAAAAUGACCAGGAAUGAAAAAGUGCCCCAGCCUUUAUGGUAACAUCCUCAGGCCAGUUUCACAGAUGGAGGAGAGGAUGCUCAUCUCCAAGCAGAAGCUCAUCUGCUUGGUGAAGAAGGAAGAUUCUGCCUAAGACAUGGAUGACUCGACAAGGAGAACAACAUGCCCCAAUAUCAUUCGAUUUAACACCUCAUUGCUCUCUAGGAAAUGAUCUGUAAACUUAGAAGUUUGCUGCUUCAUUCCUGGAAGUUUAGCAACAGCUUCCUGACUUCAAUUGGUUCUUUUCUUUUUUUUAGAUAAAGUUGCACUUGUAUUGCCCAGGCUGGAGUGCAAUGGCGCGAUCUUAGCUCACUGCAAACUCUGCCUCCCAGAUUCAAGCGAUUCUCCCACCUCAGCCUCCCAAGUAGCUGGGAUUACAGGCACGUGCCACCACACCUGGCUAAUUUUUUACAUUUAGUAGAGACGGGGUUUCACCAUGUUGAUCAGGCUGGUCUUGAACCCCUGACCUCAGGUGAUCCACCUGCCUUGGCCUCCAAUAGUGUUGGGAUUACAGGUGCCAGCCACCAUGCCUGGCCUUCAAUCGGUUCUAUACACUACUUUGUGUAUCUCUUUUAUAAAUAAUUGGAUCCAGCCAGGUGUGAGGGCUCACACCUGUAAUCUCAGCACUUUGGGAGGCCAAGGAAGGAGGAUUGAUUGAGCUAGGGAGUUCAAGACCAGCCUGGGCAACAUGGCAAGACCCUAUCUCUACAAAAACUACAUAAAUUAGCUGGGCAGUGGGUGUGGUGGCGUGUGCUUAUAAUCCCAGUUACUUGGGAGGCUGAGGUGGGAAGAUCACUUGAACCUUGGAGGUUGAGACUGCAGUGAGCUGUGAUUGCACCAUUACACUGCAGCCUGGAUGACAGAGACCUUGCCUCUAAAUACAUACAUACAUACAUA